rnacentral:snoRNA from 1 species
AGACCAUGGUGGGGACACUUCCUAAGCAGUUCCUUAAUCUCUCCCACGAAUCACAUAAGGUUUCAUUAUCAAAUUGUGAAAAAUUUGUUGUGACAUUCCUUAAUUU